rnacentral:rRNA from 1 species
CAUGGCUCAGGAUGAACGCUGGCGGCGUGCUUAACACAUGCAAGUCGAACGAUGAAGCCCAGCUUGCUGGGUGGAUUAGUGGCGAACGGGUGAGUAACACGUGAGUAACCUGCCCUUAACUCUGGGAUAAGCCUGGGAAACUGGGUCUAAUACCGGAUAGGAGCGUCCACCGCAUGGUGGGUGUUGGAAAGAUUUAUCGGUUUUGGAUGGACUCGCGGCCUAUCAGCUUGUUGGUGAGGUAAUGGCUCACCAAGGCGACGACGGGUAGCCGGCCUGAGAGGGUGACCGGCCACACUGGGACUGAGACACGGCCCAGACUCCUACGGGAGGCAGCAGUGGGGAAUAUUGCACAAUGGGCGAAAGCCUGAUGCAGCGACGCCGCGUGAGGGAUGACGGCCUUCGGGUUGUAAACCUCUUUCAGUAGGGAA